GGUAUAGACCCGAAACCCGGUGAUCUAGCCAUGGGCAGGUUGAAGGUUGGGUAACACUAACUGGAGGACCGAACCGACUAAUGUUGAAAAAUUAGCGGAUGACUUGUGGCUGGGGGGGAAAGGCCAAUCAAACCGGGAGAUAGCUGGUUCUCCCCGAAAGCUAUUUAGGUAGCGCCUCGUGAAUUCAUCUCCGGGGGUAGAGCACUGUUUCGGCAAGGGGGUCAUCCCGACUUACCAACCCGAUGCAAACUGCGAAUACCGGAGAAUGUUAUCACGGGAGACACACGGCGGGUGCUAACGUCCGUCGUGAAGAGGGAAACAACCCAGACCGCCAGCUAAGGUCCCAAAGUCAUGGUUAAGUGGGAAACGAUGUGGGAAGGCCCAGACAGCCAGGAUGUUGGCUUAGAAGCAGCCAUCAUUUAAAGAAAGCGUAAUAGCUCACUGGUCGAGUCGGCCUGCGCGGAAGAUGUAACGGGGCUAAACCAUGCACCGAAGCUGCGGCAGCGACGCUUAUGCGUUGUUGGGUAGGGGAGCGUUCUGUAAGCCUGCGAAGGUGUGCUGUGAGGCAUGCUGGAGGUAUCAGAAGUGCGAAUGCUGACAUAAGUAACGAUAAAGCGGG
rnacentral:rRNA from 1 species